CUCACACGUGCCCAUGUGGAGUGCCC
rnacentral:piRNA from 1 species